UUCAAGAGGAGAAAGAAAAUAAGAAAACCGCAAAAACUAGAGGAGAGAGAAAGUCGCAGAGAAAUGCGAUUUGGGUUCGAAUUUGCGAUGGAUGCACCAAUGGAGGAUCGAAAAUCUGCUAUUGUGAAGGAGAAAACGCGAAAAAAUAUGCGAAUUGGAGCUUGAAUCCCUCACGCGAUUGAUCUAGGCUUGUUCACAUGUGGAAAACAAUGAAUGAUUGCCAUCAAGUUCAGAGUCAUAUCUCACAGUAGGUGCUUCUUCUGGCCAGUCACAACGCAUAACCAACAACAAAGAGUCAUCGUGAAGCAGCAAUGCAGCUUGAGGGUGGGGUCAGCUUCUGGUAUAACAACCAUUGUAGACUCACAAAGUCUCAAAGAGCUUAUUUAGAAGCCUUGUACAGGUGGAUUCAGCUUACUGACUUUUGCCAAAAAUCAAAAUUUAAGGUCUGUGCUACAGCUUAGAAACUCUCUAUUGGUGCAAGUCCUAAACAAGGGCCUCUUUUCUCAAUUGGCUUUUCUUAACAAACGCUCUCUCUCUCUGUCUUCCUCUCCCUUUCACAUGGAUCUCAACCUUUUCUUCUAUA